rnacentral:rRNA from 1 species
UACGUAGGUGACAAGCGUUGUCCGGAUUUACUGGGCGUAAAGAGCGCGCAGGCGGUCGUUCAAGUCGAGUGUGAAAGCCCCCGGCUCAACUGGGGAGGGUCACUCGAUACUGAUCGACUUGAAGGCAGGAGAGGGGAGCGGAAUUCCCGGUGUAGUGGUGAAAUGCGUAGAUAUCUGGAGGAACACCCGUGGCGAAGGCGGCUCUCUGGAACGGUACUGACGCUGAGACGCGAAAGCGUGGGGAGCGAACAGG